rnacentral:lncRNA from 1 species
AGUCGCUAUAGGUGCUGUUCUGUUAACUGUGACAUCUGCCUGGGGCCAGCAGCAUACAAUCCUAAUCAAGGGAUGAAGGUUUCUAUUCUCUGGCCACCCUUGAACAACUCUCCUAUAUGCAGAUUGGUGGCCCAAGUAUAGUUUUGCUCACUGUUGUAUUUGUGUGUGUGUGUGUGUGUGUGAUGAAUUGUUUUCACAGGAUAUAUCGGUGAUGGCAAAUGGAGGAUUUCACCCACUGUUUGGAGAAUGGAUAGAAGUCACACUUGGACUAGGUUGUACCUAAACCAGAGGACACUGGACUCUGGGUUGAGACUUUUUGAAGGGCCCUUCCAUAAUCACUUUUGGAAGCAAGAAUUCAAGCGUCAACCCUGCUAGGAAAGAUAGAGUGAAUUUUUGGGUGUGGCAGUGAGAGGGGGAUCAUGACAGGGUGUUAAGGGAAGGAGGUGGGAAGCCAGCUGGGCUGGUGAGUGGUGGGAGGCAUCAGAUGUGUAGCCAUUCCUAGGGCCUGCCACGCCCACUUCCUUGGCCAAUGGGACAAGUGGAAGUCAACCCCACAACCCUUCCUUGUCAGCACCCGCAAUCUUCAUGGUAUCAAGCAGGUAGUGAUGGAACAAAGGCUGAGUUGGCGACAUGUGCAGAGAGAAGACAAGAAGGUGAUUUUGGGCCAAGACCACAGUGAAGGAUGCAGACAUUAUGCAGGAGAAAGGUGAGACACGUAGAACAGGCAAGCUAGUUCACAGAGAGAACACACAGCACAAACAGAGCGGUAGAG